rnacentral:rRNA from 1 species
GGGUUGUGAGGUUAAGCGACUAAGCGUACACGGUGGAUGCCCUGGCAGUCAGAGGCGAUGAAGGACGUGCUAAUCUGCGAUAAGCGCCGGUAAGGUGAUAUGAACCGUUAUAACCGGCGAUUUCCGAAUGGGGAAACCCAGUGUGACUCGUCACACUAUCAUUAACUGAAUCCAUAGGUUAAUGAGGCGAACCGGGGGAACUGAAACAUCUAAGUACCCCGAGGAAAAGAAAUCAACCGAGAUUCCCCCAGUAGCGGCGAGCGAACGGGGAGGAGCCCAGAGCCUGAAUCAGCAUGUGUGUUAGUGGAAGCGUCUGGAAAGGCGCGCGAUACAGGGUGACAGCCCCGUACACAAAAGCGCAUGUGCUGUGAGCUCGAUGAGUAGGGCGGGACACGUGGUAUCCUGUCUGAAUAUGGGGGGACCAUCCUCCAAGGCUAAAUACUCCUGACUGACCGAUAGUGAACCAGUACCGUGAGGGAAAGGCGAAAAGAACCCCGGCGAGGGGAGUGAAAAAGAACCUGAAACCGUGUACGUACAAGCAGUGGGAGCACCCUUUUGGGUGUGACUGCGUACCUUUUGUAUAAUGGGUCAGCGACUUAUAUUCUGUAGCAAGGUUAACCGUAUAGGGGAGCCGUAGGGAAACCGAGUCUUAAUUGGGCGUUAAGUUGCAGGGUAUAGACCCGAAACCCGGUGAUCUAGCCAUGGGCAGGUUGAAGGUUGGGUAACACUAACUGGAGGACCGAACCGACUAAUGUUGAAAAAUUAGCGGAUGACCUGUGGCUGGGGGUGAAAGGCCAAUCAAACCGGGAGAUAGCUGGUUCUCCCCGAAAGCUAUUUAGGUAGCGCCUCGUGAAUUCAUCUCCGGGGGUAGAGCACUGUUUCGGCUAGGGGGCCAUCCCGGCUUACCAACCCGAUGCAAACUGCGAAUACCGGAGAAUGUUAUCACGGGAGACACACGGCGGGUGCUAACGUCCGUCGUGAAGAGGGAAACAACCCAGACCGCCAGCUAAGGUCCCAAAGUCAUGGUUAAGUGGGAAACGAUGUGGGAAGGCCCAGACAGCCAGGAUGUUGGCUUAGAAGCAGCCAUCAUUUAAAGAAAGCGUAAUAGCUCACUGGUCGAGUCGGCCUGCGCGGAAGAUGUAACGGGGCUAAACCAUGCACCGAAGCUGCGGCAGCGACACUAUGUGUUGUUGGGUAGGGGAGCGUUCUGUAAGCCUGUGAAGGUGUGCUGUGAGGCAUGCUGGAGGUAUCAGAAGUGCGAAUGCUGACAUAAGUAACGAUAAAGCGGGUGAAAAGCCCGCUCGCCGGAAGACCAAGGGUUCCUGUCCAACGUUAAUCGGGGCAGGGUGAGUCGACCCCUAAGGCGAGGCCGAAAGGCGUAGUCGAUGGGAAACGGGUUAAUAUUCCCGUACUUGGUGUUACUGCGAAGGGGGGACGGAGAAGGCUAUGUUGGCCGGGCGACGGUUGUCCCGGUUUAAGCGUGUAGGUGUGUGUUCCAGGUAAAUCCGGUUCACUUUAACACUGAGGCGUGAUGACGAGGCACUACGGUGCUGAAGCAACAAAUGCCCUGCUUCCAGGAAAAGCCUCUAAGCAUCAGGUAACAUCAAAUCGUACCCCAAACCGACACAGGUGGUCAGGUAGAGAAUACCAAGGCGCUUGAGAGAACUCGGGUGAAGGAACUAGGCAAAAUGGUGCCGUAACUUCGGGAGAAGGCACGCUGACAUGUAGGUGAAGUGAUUUACUCAUGGAGCUGAAGUCAGUCGAAGAUACCAGCUGGCUGCAACUGUUUAUUAAAAACACAGCACUGUGCAAACACGAAAGUGGACGUAUACGGUGUGACGCCUGCCCGGUGCCGGAAGGUUAAUUGAUGGGGUCAGCGCAAGCGAAGCUCCUGAUCGAAGCCCCGGUAAACGGCGGCCGUAACUAUAACGGUCCUAAGGUAGCGAAAUUCCUUGUCGGGUAAGUUCCGACCUGCACGAAUGGCGUAAUGAUGGCCAGGCUGUCUCCACCCGAGACUCAGUGAAAUUGAACUCGCUGUGAAGAUGCAGUGUACCCGCGGCAAGACGGAAAGACCCCGUGAACCUUUACUAUAGCUUGACACUGAACAUUGAGCCUUGAUGUGUAGGAUAGGUGGGAGGCUUUGAAGUGUGGACGCCAGUCUGCAUGGAGCCGACCUUGAAAUACCACCCUUUAAUGUUUGAUGUUCUAACGUGGACCCGUGAUCCGGGUUGCGGACAGUGUCUGGUGGGUAGUUUGACUGGGGCGGUCUCCUCCUAAAGAGUAACGGAGGAGCACGAAGGUUGGCUAAUCCUGGUCGGACAUCAGGAGGUUAGUGCAAUGGCAUAAGCCAGCUUGACUGCGAGCGUGACGGCGCGAGCAGGUGCGAAAGCAGGUCAUAGUGAUCCGGUGGUUCUGAAUGGAAGGGCCAUCGCUCAACGGAUAAAAGGUACUCCGGGGAUAACAGGCUGAUACCGCCCAAGAGUUCAUAUCGACGGCGGUGUUUGGCACCUCGAUGUCGGCUCAUCACAUCCUGGGGCUGAAGUAGGUCCCAAGGGUAUGGCUGUUCGCCAUUUAAAGUGGUACGCGAGCUGGGUUUAGAACGUCGUGAGACAGUUCGGUCCCUAUCUGCCGUGGGCGCUGGAGAACUGAGGGGGGCUGCUCCUAGUACGAGAGGACCGGAGUGGACGCAUCACUGGUGUUCGGGUUGUCAUGCCAAUGGCACUGCCCGGUAGCUAAAUGCGGAAGAGAUAAGUGCUGAAAGCAUCUAAGCACGAAACUUGCCCCGAGAUGAGUUCUCCCUGAGACUUUAAGUCUCCUGAAGGAACGUUGAAGACGACGACGUUGAUAGGCCGGGUGUGUAAGCGCAGCGAUGCGUUGAGCUAACCGGUACUAAUGAACCGUGAGGCUUAACCUUACAACGCCGAAG